rnacentral:sRNA from 1 species
AAUAAUCUGGUAGGUGAGGCUCCUACAGGGAUAAGGACUGCUGCCGCGAAAUGAUGGAGACAUCAUGAGUUGGUUUGAACAGGUUAUAUCGUCAAGGUAUAGCAUAAUGCAGUUUCAUCGCCCUGCAAAGCUAAAGCUUGAACGGU